UUAAUUGAAGAGUUUGAUCAUGGCUCAGAUUGAACGCUGGCGGCAGGCCUAACACAUGCAAGUCGAGCGGCAGCACAGAGGAACUUGUUCCUUGGGUGGCGAGCGGCGGACGGGUGAGUAAUGCCUGGGAAAUUGCCCGGUAGAGGGGGAUAACCAUUGGAAACGAUGGCUAAUACCGCAUAACCUCGCAAGAGCAAAGCAGGGGACCUUCGGGCCUUGCGCUACCGGAUAUGCCCAGGU
rnacentral:rRNA from 1 species